UAAUUUAAAUAUGCAUUUGAAGUGCUCUUGAGCAGGCAUCAAUUUCAGACUAAUUUUGUAUUCAUUUUUUCAGGAUUAUUGACCUUGCCAAAAUUUAAAUAUGACAGGAAGAAAGUAUAUUAGUGAAAGCCAGGCAAGUAUACUUAAAGAAGAAAGAAAAGAAAGAUCAUCAGAGUUUCAUCAUGUCAAAACUACUUUUACACGGUGGAUCUUAAAAUAUCUAAUGAUGAAAAUUAUAAAAAUGCUUAAGAAACUUCUCAGUAAUCAAAAGUAAAAUUUGAUUAAGCUAAAGAAAAGACUAAAUAAUCUUUACAUCCACCCUAUAGAAAAUCAUAUUUCAAAUUAUGGUUCUAUGAACAGAUGAUGAAAUAUUAUUCUGGACAAAUUAAGAACAAAGUAUACAGGGGAUGUGAAGAUACUCUUGCUUCAACUACAUGUCCUAUGCUGCUUGACAUUGCCUGUAUGACUGGCAAGCAUAUGACCCCGUAUUCUCUACAGGAUUUCAAAGAAAAAGAUCAUGUAGCUGGAAGUCUAAAGACAGCAUCUUAUUCCAGAACCAGGCCUAUGGAGAGACCCCAGGGAUCAAGGGAGUACUUAGGAGUCAGAAAGAGAAAAAUUUGAUGAUUCCUUGAUGUCAACAGCAACUACGAAAGUGGAAUAUAGGGAACUUGCUGCAGCCUACCAAGAAGUGCUGUGGAAAAAGAUUUGAAAUCAGUGACCAGAUAAUGUGAGUUUUCCCUUAUGGAACUGUUGAGGCUGACCACAUCAGGUCCUGCCAGAGACUAUAUAAUUUUUUCCACUUCUACAAAUUGUAUUGAAAAUUUCAAUGUGGUAAUUAUUAAUCUAAAUAAUAGUUCUUAUGAAAAGGCUAAAGCAAAUUAGAGCAUCAGAAAUCUGGAAGUUAAAUGAUCUUCUGAAAUUUGCAUGAUGAACUCACUGUUGUGGAAGAAUAAGUAAUAAAACAGCUCUACUCAUGCUGAUGAACAAGUGGGCAGGGGGAAUGGCGAGGGAUGCCAUCACUAAGGAAACCGUGAUCAUAGAGGAAUGGUGACAGCAAGAAAGCGAACACACAAGUUAAACUUUGGUUUAAUAAGUGCACUGUGUAAGCUGUCAGUGGAUCUACCAUUCUGGGGUCUGGAGGAUGGUGGCCCUCUUCUCACAGCUCCACCAGGUGGUGCCCCAGAAGGGACUCUGUGUGGAGGCUCUGACCCACGUUUCCCUUCUGCACUGCCUUAGCAGGGGUUCUCUACGAG
rnacentral:lncRNA from 10 species